rnacentral:rRNA from 1 species
AACGAACGCUGGCGGCAUGCCUAACACAUGCAAGUCGAGCGCGAAUCGAGGGCUUGCUCUCGAGGAAAGCGGCGCACGGGUGAGUAACGCGUGGAUAACGUGCCCAAGGGCUUGGAAUAACCCAUAGAAAGACGGGCUAAUACCAAAUAAGCUCAUCGAAGGUUCGCCUUUAAUGAGGACACCGGGGUAACUCGCACCCAUGGAACGGUCCGCGUCCCAUCAGCUAGUUGGCGGGGUAAAGGCCCACCAAGGCGACGAUCGGUAGCCGAACUGAGAGGUUGAUCGGCCACAUUGGGACUGAGACACGGUCCAGACUCCUACGGGAGGCAGCAGUGGGGAAUAUUGCGCAAUGGGGGAAACCCUGACGCAGCAACGCCGCGUGAAGGAUGAAGGUUUUCGGAUCGUAAACUUCUUUGAUGAGGGACGAAUAAAUGACGGUACCUCAAAAACAAGCCACGGCUAACUACGUGCCAGCCGCCGCAGUAAAAC